UGUGGAAAGAGCGUUUCUGAACCUCUGAACAUUAUUCUGCUCCACUUUCAAAAGACAAACAUCGCCUGUAGGACGAGAAUGUGCUUCCUGCCAUCGGGGAUGAUGCUGAUGUGGCAAAGGAGCAGCACAAAGAUCCAUGCCCCGAGGGGGACCUCCAGCAGGAAAGGACAGGCGUGGGAUCCAGCAUGGUACCCUUCUGGUGGGAGCAGCAGCGAAGGCUCCAGCGGGCAGCUCACGGACCCUGGGAAGGACGCAUCCUGCUCCCUCCUCCCCCCCGGUAGAACGUCCUUUGGGCCAUGUGACCUGGUGAAUCCCUGUGAAACCAGCACUGAAGGCUCCAGAUGACUGGCAAAUGCUGUUUCAAGCGAGCCGGAAGUGUCUUAGCUGCCCGAGCCCCUCUGCUCAGCUUUCGUCCAUCUGCAUUUGUCCUGGCCUCCUUCUCUUCGCUCCCGGUCAGCGCAGAUUGGCCCCCGGUCCCCCUGCACGAUCCCAGGGCGCUGCCCAUAACCUGGGCACUCCCCGCCAGAGUGGUGUCUCCUGCCCAGCCCAGGCCUUGAAGCUGUGCUCUUCUGACGAGGCUUCAGCAACUGCUCCUUUUUGAGGGGAGUCAUCUUAAGCCAGCAGGCCUUCCAGAGAAGAAUCCCUGUACAGGCACAGCCCCAAACCCGAGCCUGCUGGCUUCUGAGACGUCGUGGGCGAGGUGAGAGCUGCCCAGGGGAGGCUCCUGGUUGGGAGGGCAUCUGGCCGAGAGCAGACGCAGGCAGCCUCUGCCACCAAGUGUGCAGUUGAAGACUGUCAUUUUCAUUCUGAAGCCUUCAAGCAUCCUGUUAUCUCUGAAAACGUGUGUGCCAGCUUGGCAUCCAGCUCAGGGGAGAUGACAUGAGCCAGGAGGGGAGGGCAAUGCCCAGAGCCCACCUUUUCCGGAUUAGGCCUGUCUUCUCCCUCCCUUUGGCCCCCACCUUGCUCUCCGCAUCCGUAACACGACCGGUACGGAAACAUUUUCAACUCUGCACCACUCCGCCCAUCGCUUCAGGUUCUGUGUUUUGCCGAUGCUGCUUGAGGAUUCAGGAGGCGGGGGCUUUGCAUCGGUGCGGCUCCCUGGCCCGGCUGGGACCACCUGGCUCAGCUGAUGACUGUGAAAGAUGCAGUUCGGAGGAGGAAGCAAUCUCUCUGUCGAGAGCACCUGCCCUUGGCCUGAAUUUGUCAAACAGGAUCUAUGGGGAAGGGAUGAGGGAAGGAAGCAGGAAGGAGACGAACAUUCAGAGUAUAUUAAGUAAACACGAGAUGGGAUGUGGCUCAGAGGUGCAGGGGAACCGCACGGCCAAAACUGGGAACCACUCGGUCUGGUGGAAACUGCUGCUUCGAGGCAGGUUCUAGGCGCCUAUUCAACAAGUGUGCCGGGCGCCAUCCUGGAGGCUUUUGCGGUCUCAUUUGAUCCUCCCUACAAAGCCCCGCAAAGCCAUCCCGUUAUCCACCCACCCGACAGUGCCCUGAGAAAAUCGAGACCCAGAGGGAUCAGUGUGACCCCCAAGACUCAGGCCCUGUGGCUGCACGUUCAACACCCUCCACGGCGAAAGAGAAAAUAAUCACUUUAAAAUACUGUAAUUAGCCACAGUAGUGCAGAUGCUAACAUUUGGGGAAACGGGGUGAGAGCUCCAUGCUAUCUCUGCAACUUCUUUGUGCAUCUGAAACGGUGGCAAGAUAUGGAGCUUAUUGUAAAGAGGUAAGCCAUACCUGGAAGUGUGCGUCCUUCCAAAAGGGAUGUGAGGCAGGUCACUUUUGUUCUUUGUCCAUCUUGAAGUUGAUGGUGAGCAGGACAGCCUGCACAGAACAGGCAUCCGUACAGGGCUGGGGAUGCAGGUGCGAGCAGAGGAGGCGAGACACGGGUCUGUGAAAUGCUAGAACGCGUGCGCCCUUCAUUCCACUGCAGUCAUAGGAGGCAUCUCAGAGGAAAUAAGAUGCAUGAAUUUUAACUUAAUGAUUGAUGGGUCUGGGAGUCAACUGUGAAUAUUAAAUUGUUGAAAGUGUUGA
ensembl:lncRNA